GGUGUGGUGACACUGUGAGUGUAAACUUCUGAACUCAUCCGGAGAAAGUGGAAAUGGACCCUCAGACUGUUGUAGUUCUACAGCCCCAGAUUGCUGUUGCUCCUGCAUCAAGCAAUGCCUGGCAGACCGGGUUGCUAGACUGCUGCAGUGACUUUGGAGUCUGCCUAUGUGGAAUAGUCUGUUGCUGCUUUCUUGACUGUAAAAUUGCAGAUGAGAUGGGUGAAUGCUGCUGUUGUGGCUCAAGCGUUGCCAUGAGGACUCUGUACCGGACCAAAUACAGAAUCCCUGGAUCCAUCUUCUCUGAUUUCUGCAUUACCAGGUUUUGUCCUCUGUGUUCUCUUUGUCAAAUAAAGAGAGAUAUUAACAUAAGGAAAAAAAUGAGGAUAUUCUAGUAAGAUGCUCCUGUACUACUUCGUUGUGUGUCCUAGAGCCUCCACGUACAAGAGUCUGCAUAUAUAACAUUGCCUGCUCUAUGCAUUUUAAUGUCAUCGUGGCAAAGUGCUUUUUAUCUAAAAAAAGUCAAUACAAAAAAGAAACAAACUCAAUAUUGUUUUUGCAUGUGUGUUAACUUUCACUACUGCUUCUCAAGUGUCACUGAUGUACUAAGAUGUCUCCAAAAAUGUAGUCUCCUGUUCUUAAUUAUCUUUCUCGUGCUAAUGUACUCUAGCUUUAUUGUAUUUUCCCAUCAAUAGUUCUGCCUCCAUCCUAUAAGAACGUAAAAUAGAA